CAGAAUCUCCGUGCACUUGCUUCAUCAUGUCAUUACAAUCCAACUGACUAACGAGGGGAAAGAAGGAGCUGAGGGUCAAGAAGCUCACUUGGACCACUGAGAGAGACACGGAGACCUAAACGAACUGCAAAAAAGAGAUUUCUGAGAGAAGCAAGAUGAGAGGCAGUCAGGAACAUUGGAGGCAAAACAGAGGCUUUAGUAUCAGCGGAGGGAGAGCUUCUUAUUCUUUGGACAUUGUUUUCUGUUAUGUUGGUGUCGUGUGGACUCUGCAGUGGUAUUGGCAAAAC